UCAUGCCUGUCCCAUCUCAGUGAUAUAAAAAUGAAAAUGCAUAUGCAAAUCAAUGAAGCACUUGUCAGUUUGCUCUAAUCUUUUGAAAUUUGUGUCAUUCCAUAGCAACUGAAUCAGUUUCCAAGUCCUUGGCAUAUCAUUCCACAUAUCUCUUGCUUAUUUUAUUUAUUUAAAUUCCUACUAACCUAUUAUGAUCAUUCUUUAUUCUAGGCUUUCAUCCUAUCUUAUCUGCAUUAUUCAAUAGCAAAUUCAAACUACUCCAUUUACAGAAUUUCCUCCCCUUGUAAUGAUCCUGCCAUACAUAUCCUCUGAAUCCUUUGUGGACAACAUAGGGUGACUUACCUAACCUCUGUUCCUACUUGCAUUUCCCUUGUUUGCUCCUACCAUAGGGACUAUAAAAGUUAUCUACAGCAGAAUUCUACUGGGUGGAUGUUGAGAAAAUUUGCCUUCUUCUCAAAUGUGAAGUGACAUGGCAUAAAAUGGAGAGUACUGCUGCUGUUAUUCUUCUUCCUGUUUCUCCCGCUGUUGAACAGAAUAAGUGACCUCUCAUUGAGGAGAGAGGGAAGAAGGACGAACGAAAAUGAGGUUUUCUCUGAUGGCAAGUCAAUUUAAGAGAACCCUCUGAUCAAUGAGUGUGCUUGGUUAAGUAUUUUAGAACAAUGACUCUUGGAGCAAUGGGCAACAGGCUUACAAGCAGUGAAACCAGUCUGCAGUCUAAGAGAGAUGAUGGAGCAAGUAACAUUGGAUAAGGAGAAGUGCAGACAAAUCUGAGAGUAAUGGAAAAGCAAAAUCUGUAAGAUUUGACUCAUUGUGUAUCAGAAUGAGGACGUCUUUUGAGGGAGUUUGACCAGUGUACCUCUUUCUGCAACUAAAGGAAAUUCAGCUACUACUGAGGGACAAACCAAGCACAGACAGAUGUAAGCGAUGAAACUCUACUGCAGGGGG